rnacentral:lncRNA from 1 species
AAAAGUCGCUGAAGCCGUCGACAAAGACGAACUCACCGUCGAAGAACGUAAUCUCCUCUCCGUCGCUUACAAAAACGUAAUCGGCGCUCGUCGUGCUUCCUGGAGAAUCAUCUCUUCCAUUGAACAAAAGGAAGAGAGUCGUGGUAACGAUGACCAUGUAACCACGAUCCGUGAUUACAGAAGCAAGAUCGAAUCUGAGUUAUCGAAAAUCUGUGACGGUAUUCUUAAGCUUCUUGAUACUAGACUUGUUCCAGCUUCUGCUAAUGGAGAUUCAAAGGUUUUUUACCUUAAGAUGAAGGGAGAUUAUCAUAGGUAUUUGGCUGAGUUUAAG